UUGUCUCCUCGGAUGCCUCUCCUUCCUCCCGCAGCGGGAGCUGCUGGCAGCGAGGCCGGAGCGCGGCGGCCGCGGGCUGGCUCGGGGCGCUGCAGGGACAGCGUGGGUGUGAAGCCUGUGGCGCUUGGAGCUUUCUACACCUGCCUUGCUCAGGGCUGCGGGGGAGGAGGAGGAGGAGGUGAAAUGGCAAAUGUGUGCUCAGGCACAAACCCCAGCUCCGUGGGCGGACGCCCGGGGUUGCCGUCGGCCGAGUCGCCUCAGCCCCGCAGGUCUGUGACCUCUGGCUCCUGCCCAUGACACACCGCUGUCCUCCGGGUGGAAACUGCGGACGAAAGUGCAGGAUGUGCCUUGGUUUUGCUGACACCGCUCCAGCCGCGCUGGCUCCCGCGCUGAAUCCUGGUAAAAUGCAGUAAAGGAUUUAAGGUUAUCGUCUGUCUCUCUCUAACUUCUGACAUCUCUUUAUAACAAGAAAGAGUCACAGCCAACUGUAACAGGAGGGCAACACAAUGAAUCCUGCUCAUUCUAGGAGGAAUAUAUACAUGUGGCAGCAGCACUCAGGACAUGAAGAGCUACUUUGAAAGUUGGUGCAUUUCCCAGUGUUUGAGAUGAAGAUGGAAAGUAGAGAGUGGGAAAAUUGGCUGUCCCUGCAGAGGUGCCCCCCAGCCACAGCAACGUUUGUGCAGCCAUCGUGCUUUUCUAUCCUUAACGAGAAAGCAGCCUGGACUGGUUCAGAGCAAAUGCAGUUUGUAGGAAGCCUUUCAGAUGGAUGUUCUUCCCUGAGGAGGGAGUUUUCCAGGGGCCUGGCAGAGCCAGCUGGCAGCAUGAACAGCUCAAGCUACAGCAAGGAGACUGAAGCAGAACUACACAAACUUUUCCAUAUUCCCUUCUACUGUGCUGAAUUGGGAAGGCAUGCAAGGCAAACCUGAAAAUCUAUGUGUGGCUGCUGGGCCGCACAUAGAGCUGUACAUACAUAGAGCAGUAAAUGGGAGCUCGUGCAGGGUUCGUGCUGUACUGGGAGAGCUAACUGGGCUGUGAAAGUAAGCUUUACCUUUAAACAGACCAAGGUAAAUGACAGCUGAGGAUGUUACACAGGCAGUUGGGUUCUUUACACUCGGCCUCAUGUUCUCAGAAGGUUUUGCUCACUGCACUGCCCUGGGAAAUACAGCAGUAAAAGCCUGUGACCAGAGGGAAAGUGGUAAGCCAGUGGUAGCACUAGAUUAAAACAGCAGCACGCAAACACACUGACCUCUUCCUGAGUGGUAACCUCGAGUGAGAGCUAAUUCACCGGAUUGAUUUUAUUCAGCUUGUCCAUGAGAAAAUAGAGCACAGCAGCAUUGACUGCAACUGGCCAAAAGUGCUUGUGAGCUUCAGUGAUCUUUAUAGUGAUUGUUUCAGCUUCCAGGUCCUUAAAGAUGUUGGCAAUGUUAUGAUGUGCUAUUGCACUCAAAGCCUUCUGUUUGGCAAAAAUGUACUGGCAAAAGGCACAGAAUAUAAAUGAAUCUAAGAAUUUAUUGUUAGUCCAAUUAAUGUUUUAAACAGUCUAAUAGUCAAAAUUACUUAAUGAAUACAGGAAGACCUCAUUAAAAAUAGAGUUAAAAUUGCUACACUAAAAAUUCCCUCUUCUCUGGUGUUGUGCUUACUCUUCCAGUUCUCCUUUGGGUCUUAAGACUGGUAUUCCUCAAAAGGAAUGGGGGAGUAUUAUGAUUAGUGUGAUACUUAUGGAGAGGAGUGUCUUCCUUCUCAGCCUGGUGUCUCCUUGGAUUUAGUUUUAUAUGUUUUCUUAACACUAUCAUCUAACUAUGAUUAAAUGGCUGAUUUGUGUCAAAUGUGUCUGCACUCUUCCCCGUGACUGCCCCUAGAGUUGUAGGCAGUUUAGUUCACAAUGAAUAAUCAUUUAUUAUUACCCUAAAUUAGAGUUAAACAAAUCUAGUCAAGAGUGCCUCAGAGCUGGACAACUGCUGUCACAGCUAAACCAAGUUAAAAUCUAUCUAGGCCCAGAAAAACCCAGACCACUGCCAAGUCCGUACACUGUCAUGUCAAUACAAACCUUGUUGGUUUUUACUAAUAAUGGCAAAAUCACAUUUAUCGGGCUAUAAAGUCACUUUGAAUAGCCUGUGAAAUACAGAGCAAGGAUUUGCAAACCCUGCUGAGACUGCAGCAUCAUGAAUGAGCAGCAGAUCUUGGAAACAUUCACACUUUGCUACCUUCUCUUAAAUUAGAGUAAUUCGAAGUCUGAUUGACUUGUAUUUCUUCAUUGCCUUCAGGAGGCCAGCUAACAAAAAGUAUUUGAUUUUCAUCACCAAUAUAAUUCGCCCAAUCAGCAGGAAUACUGUGAUUAUUAAACUGAGAGCUAUAGUUUGUAGUGCUAAGUUAAAAAUUCUUGUAGCUGCAGGAGACCAUAGUGUUACCUGAUAAAGGUAUAGGAUAAUUAAGAAACGUGCUUGAAUCUAAGAUAUCUCAGACAUACACACACACAGACAAGCACUGUCAGGCAGGUGUUACAUGAGGUAGUUCACAAUAAUUUCUGAAACUGGGUCUGUACACAAACACAACUAGAUCUCAUAUAUAUGAUUAAAGAUAGAUUAGAAACAGAAUGAGAGAUAUCAUAGUCACAUCUGUUUAACUUACAAGCUAAGUAAUCAUCUGAAGACUGGAAACUAAUAUCUUCACAUCUCUAUUAAAUAUUUCAAUGCUAUUUGUCGGCAUUCUUCUGAAAAGACUCACUGAAUAUUCCAUUUUCUUUGGCAGACUGUGUUGACAGAUGCACAUCUUUAAUAACAGAAACACUUGUUAUACAUUUCCAAAAUUAUCUGAUCAGCUUUGUACAAACAAGAACUUUUCCAUCAACUUGAUACAUGACUAUGUAUUUUACAUAUAUGCAGUUUUCACCAUGUACAAUAUUCAAGAUGUUUUAAAAUAUCUCCCGUACAAUUGUACAUAAAUGUUACAUUUAUUUUUAAAAUGUGAUUUUUCCAUGGCAAAAAAAAUACCCUGUUGAUCCAUCUUUUCUUUUAUGCUUUAUAAGAACUCAGUUUCAACUGUACUUGUAAAUAUAUGUAUAUUUUAAUGUUACAAGUAUAGAUAUUAAUAUCUAGGUGAUCUGUUAAAUGUGAUUACUCUCAAGGAGAGGACAUACAGACCUUGUCAUCUGGAGAUGAGAGAGACACAACCUACAAGGGAUCCUCUGCCAGUAUUUCACCACCCUCAUGGUAAAUAAUUUUUCCUAAUCCCUGAUCAGAGUUUCUCUUGGUCUGAUUUCUGCAGGUUGCCUCUUUCCUGUCCUUGUGCACAUCUAAGAAAAACCUGUCUUUGUUUUCUUUGUAGCCUCUUGUGAAGUAUUUCCAGGUAGCAGUAGGUCUCCCUGCCCUCUUGGCCUUUUCAAGGCUGAAGAACCACAGUGCCCUCGGCCUCUCCUCACAGGUUUCCUGCUAUAGCCUCCACUGGAGUAGUGCCAUGUCUGCAACUUUCUCAUGGAGAGGGGCACAUCCGGUGGCCAGAUGUAACUGCAAUCAGCUGUGGCCACUCCAAGCUAGAAAUGAGUGUCUGAGCAUCAUGCUCACUAAUCCUUCCACUGCAGUGCCUGUGUUCUGGCUGGUCUCUUGGGUAAGUGCCUCAACAGCUCCUUGUAGUCCUGGGCUGUAGUUAAUAUAAACAGUGGCACAAUUUUUAACAAGUUAGCACUAUAAGGAGUUGUGGAACAAUGUACCAGGGAAAGCUACAUUUAUAUGAUAUGUAAAAUGGAGCACUAGAAUUCCCCUCUUGCAGAUGUUACUUUAAAUAAAUGAAAGAGUUUUGUGGUGAUUUUAAAAGUUUUAUUUUAUUUUCCUCAUGAUGAAGAUGCAGUGAUUCAUGGAGGGAAAACACAUACACAUAGAUAUAUUCACUGUGGAUAAGUGAAUUGAGAAAUAAAGAUUAUGAAAUAAAUACUGUUCUUUUGGUUUAGACCCAGAGGAGUGAAAUUCAGCAUCAAAAUUAUAAAUGUUAUAGCCGAUCUAAUUCUUUUAGUUGUUUUUCUUUGCUUGCAUUUUUGCUGCCAUGUCUUGUUGUUUACAGCUUCUCAGCCAGAAGAAUAUCCCGAAGCAAAUUACUGUCAGAAGCCAAAAAAAGUAUCCAUAAUUCAUCCUAAAGUGCUGUCAACUUAAUUUUAAAGUAAUUUUUCUGCUUUAUGAGUCCAGGCUGAAAUGGUAAGUUUGCAAAUCCAUAAAUCAAACGACAGGAAAUAAAGGAAAUGUAUACCUUUGUUUAAAAUAUUCUGUUUUCCUAAAACUUCAUUGUAAGCAUAGUUUUUAUUAAUUAGAACUUCAAUUACUAGAAAGAGAAGAAAGAAACAAAACUGUGAACUGUAUUCUGUACAACUGUACACAUCUGUGUUGUGACUCCAGAGCCAUCUCCUGGGCUAUAGAGAAGUUUUUCUAGAUUUAUAAUAGCAGAAAAUAAUUUAGAUUGUGUAUUCCUCUGAACACAAUGAGGAGCACGUGUGUGUUUGUGAAUUAGGCUAAGCCUGUUGAGGCCUAGGCCUGUAAAAGGCACACUGUCCUGUGAGGUCUCCUGCAUUUGCAAGUUCUGUUCUGGGGCCCUGUGCAGGUGUGCAGACACUCACAAAACGUCCUCAGUUUCCAAAUGGUUCCAAACUGACCUCACACAUCUCGAGUAACAGUGAAGCUGAUUCAAGUUCUUUACCUGUAAGAGACACAUUAGAGAGCAGGUGUGAAAGCCUUCUGUGGAAAAUCCUUCACUGAAAAUCUGCUGAAACCUGUGUCCCUGAGUGCAAGAACAGCAGUCUGGCAGCGAGUGUGAGCAUGGUCUUGUUUGUGCUCUUCUGCACACUGGGGGAAAUUGUGCAGAAUUCCUGGUCCCAGGACUCAGUUUAUCACCACAGAAGGAGCAGAGCCUCAGUGUGUGUUCCAGCUCAGAACUGCCACCAGCAGCUACUGAAUAGCAGCCAUGUUCUGAAUCUCAGCACACCAUGAAAAUCCUCCUUUAAUCAAAUACUCCCGGGGGAGCGAGAAAUUCAAGAUGCACUUCCAGCCUGGGAAGUGCAUCCACACCACUAGGUCAAUACUUGGCAUAAAGAGCUUUUUGCUUGUUGAUGUGGUGUGGGGGCUGGGGGACAGGACAAGCAAAACCAACAGGCAGCACAUGAGGUAACAUGAGGGCAGCAAGAAAGAAGAAAAGGUACUACAGAACUGAGUGGGGCACUGUGGUGGCUGGGUUAGAAAGCAUUUUGCUUCUCAGCUUGAACUGUUUAAUUAGGGAAUUUCACAGUAAUUUUGACUAAGCUUAACGAGUAACAAAUUCAGUGCUCUGGCUCACUAAAUUCUUUCUUGCAGUCUAAAUAAGGUGCAAAGCUCAGAGCUGAAGGAAUUCAGUGCCUUAACAGCACUUUCUCUCCAGCCUGCACUGUAGGUUUGUGCCAGAACAGGACCACCAGCAAGAAAUACCUACAGUAUGACAUGCACCUAUAGAGUCAUCCCAGUAUGGGGCUGGUGAAGGACAAGAGAUACAAUGCCAGUCUGUUGUGAGAACACGGAGCUGCAUGUCACAGCACGUCUUUUCCGUGGGUUAAGGGAGACUGUCCUAACACUCCCAGCUUCUGCUGCCCAGUCAUUCUCUCUUUGUAAUUAGCAUGAAGACUACCCUUCAGUCAAAACUAGCCACCUGGAAAGUUUCAGCUUGUAAUAUGCAGCUUUUUUUGUGAAUUAUGAAUGUGCAAAAAGAGACCUUUCUCCUUACACCCACUUCCUUGUAUAAUUCAAAUAUGAAUGAAUUUUAUUCAGGCUUGCCAAAAAAUCAUAUUUCAGCUGAUAACAAGCAUGAAAAAUUUCAGAUGAAAGGGAUUUUUUUUAAAAGAAAUAGAAUAUUCUGAGCAUGGGAGAACAGCAGGUUAAGACAGAAGUCUCAGUGCAGCCUUAACUGUAACAAUUGCUAUCAAGCAAAUACUAUAUCCAAGCACUAAAUCUUGCUUUGUGCUGCCCUGGUGCACGGUAGCAGGGACAGAGUAGAAUAAUAAAAGCUGGUCCCCUUAUGCAAACAGCAGGGCACAGCACUUGACAGAGUACAAGAAGGUGAGCCUGCCUGCUGUCCUGGCUUGCUAACCACAUUCCUAGGGUCUGUGGGUCAGUUGUCAGCUCUAGCUCCAGUCAGAUAGCAAAAUGUACUUCAAGCACGAACAAAGGGAAUGUUUUGGCCCUUUCCAGAAGAACAUUGCCUCCAAAUAUACUGUUCUAUUAAAUAAAGUAUUUGAAGGAAUUCGUGUAAGCCACAUGAUGGUUCAACAGGUCAAAAAGGGAAUGGAAUCAGUGCCAGGCUUUUUUCUGAUUAACUGUGUAUUUAAAAAUAUAUAUAUCUGUGAAGAAGGUAUUAUCUCCACAAAGCAGAAUAAAAUUUGGGCUCAUGCCAGUACCACUUUGAAAAUAAACUAUAACAGUGAGGAAAAGUUACCAUCUGGAACAUUUCUGCAUCAUAUUUUUUCUUGUUCCUAAUAAAGCUUUGGUGAUAAGUCCAGCUCUCCUUUUCUACCCAGAAAACAGGAUUAAAACUCCCAUUCAUUUACUAUGGGUUUAUUAAAAAAAUACACAUUACAGUGGCUAAACAGUAGUGAAUGCUAAAGUAUUACCUUGUAGGUUCACA